rnacentral:rRNA from 1 species
GACGAACGCUGGCGGCGUGCCUAAUACAUGCCAGUAGAACGCUGAAGGAGGAGCUUGCUUCUCUGGAUGAGUUGCGAACGGGUGAGUAACGCGUAGGUAACCUGCCUGGUAGCGGGGGAUAACUAUUGGAAACGAUAGCUAAUACCGCAUAAUAGUAGAUGUCGCAUGACAUUUGCUUAAAAGGUGCAAUUGCAUCACUACCAGAUGGACCUGCGUUGUAUUAGCUAGUUGGUGAGGUAACGGCUCACCAAGGCAACGAUACAUAGCCGACCUGAGAGGGUGAUCGGCCACACUGGGACUGAGACACGGCCCAGACGCCUACGGGAGGCAGCAGUAGGGAAUCGGCGGCAAUGGACGGAAGUCUGACCGAGCAACGCCGCGUGAGUGAAGAAGGUUGUCGGAUCGUAAAGCUCUGUUGUAAGAGAAGAACGAGUGUGAGAGUGGAAAGUUCACACUGUGACGGUAUCUUACCAGAAAGGGACGGCUAACUACGUG